rnacentral:tRNA from 1 species
GGGGUUGUGGCUCAGUGGUAGAGCACAUGCCUAGUUCGUAUGAGGUGCUGGGUUCAAUCCUCAGCACCA